ACGCUGGCANUGCGUCUUAAGCAUGCAAGUCAAACGGGAUGUAGUAAUACAUCUAGUGGCGAACGGGUGAGUAACGCGUGGAUGAUCUACCUAUGAGAUGGGGAUAACUACUAGAAAUAGUAGCUAAUACCGAAUAAGGUCAAUUAAUUUGUUAAUUGAUGAAAGGAAGCCUUUAAAGCUUCGCUUGUAGAUGAGUCUGCGUCUUAUUAGUUAGUUGGUGGGGUAAAUGCCUACCAAGGCGAUGAUAAGUAACCGGCCUGAGAGGGUGAACGGUCACACUGGAACUGAGAUACGGUCCAGACUCCUACGGGAGGCAGCAGCUAAGAAUCUUCCGCAAUGGGCGAAAGCCUGACGGAGCGACACUGCGUGAAUGAAGAAGGUCGAAAGAUUGUAAAAUUCUUUUAUAAAUGAGGAAUAAGCUUUGUAGGAAAUGACAAAGUGAUGACGUUAAUUUAUGAAUAA
rnacentral:rRNA from 1 species